GGGAUGUAGCUCAGUGUUAGAGUGCUGGCCUAAUGUGUGAGGCCCUGUGUUCCAUCCCCAGCACUACCA
rnacentral:tRNA from 1 species